AGUGAACGCUGGCGGUAGGCCUAACACAUGCCAGUCGAACGGCAGCACAGUAAGAGCUUGCUCUUACGGGUGGCGAGUGGCGGACGGGUGAGGAAUACAUCGGAAUCUACUUUUUCGUGGGGGAUAACGUAGGGAAACUUACGCUAAUACCGCAUACGACCUACGGGUGAAAGCAGGGGAUCUUCGGACCUUGCGCGAUUGAAUGAGCCGAGGUCGGAUUAGCUAGUUGGCGGGGUAAAGGCCCACCAGGGCGACGAUCCGUAGCUGGUCUGAGAGGAUGAUCAGCCACUCUGAAAGUGAGACACGGCCCAGACGCCAAGGGGAGGCAGCAGGGGGUAUUAUUGGACAAGGAGCGCAAUCCUGACCCAGCCGUGCGACGGGGUUGAAGAAGCCCUUCGGGUGGGAAAACCCUUUUUUUGGGAAGAAAAGCCAUCGGGUUAAAACCCCACUUUUUGAAGGUAACCAAAAAAUAAGCCACGGCUAACCUCGUG
rnacentral:rRNA from 1 species